CCGGAGCUUGCUCCACCGGAAAAAGAGGAGUGGCGAACGGGUGAGUAACACGUGGGUAACCUGCCCAUCAGAAGGGGAUAACACUUGGAAACAGGUGCUAAUACCGUAUAACAAUCGAAACCGCAUGGUUUUGAUUUGAAAGGCGCUUUCGGGUGUCGCUGAUGGAUGGACCCGCGGUGCAUUAGCUAGUUGGUGAGGUAACGGCUCACCAAGGCGACGAUGCAUAGCCGACCUGAGAGGGUGAUCGGCCACAUUGGGACUGAGACACGGCCCAAACUCCUACGGGAGGCAGCAGUAGGGAAUCUUCGGCAAUGGACGAAAGUCUGACCGAGCAACGCCGCGUGAGUGAAGAAGGUUUUCGGAUCGUAAAACUCUGUUGUUAGAGAAGAACAAGGAUGAGAGUAACUGUUCAUCCCUUGACGGUAUCUAACCAGAAAGCCACGGCUAACUACGUGCCAGCAGCCGCGGUAAUACGUAGGUGGCAAGCGUUGUCCGGAUUUAUUGGGCGUAAAGCGAGCGCAGGCGGUUUCUUAAGUCUGAUGUGAAAGCCCCCGGCUCAACCGGGGAGGGUCAUUGGAAACUGGGAGACUUGAGUGCA
rnacentral:rRNA from 1 species